rnacentral:rRNA from 1 species
AGGACUAACGCUGGCGGCGUGCCUAACACAUGCAAGUCGAACGGACACCACUUUGUAGCAAUACAGAUGAAGUGUUAGUGGCAGACGGGUGAGUAACACGUAGUCAACCUGCCUUACCGUCCGGGAUAACUAGCCGAAAGGUUAGCUAAUACCUGAUACGAUCGUCGAGCGGCAUCGCUUGACGAUGAAAGCAGCAAUGCGCGGUUAGAGGGGGCUGCGGCCCAUUAGCUAGUUGGUGAGGUAAUGGCCCACCAAGGCAACGAUGGGUAGCUGGUCUGAGAGGACGACCAGCCACACUGGGACUGAGACACGGCCCAGACUCCUACGGGAGGCAGCAGUGAGGAAUUUUCCGCAAUGGGCGAAAGCCUGACGGAGCGACGCCGCGUGCACGAGGAAGGCCUUCGGGUCGUAAAGUGCUGUCGAGGGGGACGAUUAUGACGGUACCCCUGGAGGAAGCCCCGGCUAACUACGUGCCAGCAGCCGC